GACGAACGCUGGCGGCGGGCUUAACACAUGCAAGUCGAACGGAAAGGCCCUGCUUUUGUGGGGUGCUCGAGUGGCGAACGGGUGAGUAACACGUGAGUAACCUGCCCUUGACUUUGGGAUAACUUCAGGAAACUGGUGCUAAUACCGGAUAGGAGCUCCUGCUGCAUGGUGGGGGUUGGAAAGUUUCGGCGGUUGGGGAUGGACUCGCGGCUUAUCAGCUUGUUGGUGGGGUAGUGGCUUACCAAGGCUUUGACGGGUAGCCGGCCUGAGAGGGUGAACGGCCACAUUGGGACUGAGAUACGGCCCAGACUCCUACGGGAGGCAGCAGUGGGGAAUAUUGCACAAUGGGCGGAAGCCUGAUGAAGCAAUGCCGCGUGCGGGAUGACGGCCUUCGGGUUGUAAACCGCUUUCGCCUGUGACGAAGCGUGAGUGACGGUAAUGGGUAAAGAAGCACCGGCUAACUACGUG
rnacentral:rRNA from 1 species